GACGAACGCUGGCGGCGUGCUUAACACAUGCAAGUCGAACGGAAAGGCCCUGCUUUUGUGGGGUGCUCGAGUGGCGAACGGGUGAGUAACACGUGAGUAACCUGCCCUUGACUUUGGGAUAACUUCAGGAAACUGGGGCUAAUACCGGAUAGGAGCUCCUGCUGCAUGGUGGGGGUUGGAAAGUUUCGGCGGUUGGGGAUGGACUCGCGGCUUAUCAGCUUGUUGGUGGGGUAGUGGCUUACCAAGGCUUUGACGGGUAGCCGGCCUGAGAGGGUGACCGGCCACAUUGGGACUGAGAUACGGCCCAGACCCCUACGGGAGGCAGCAGUGGGGAAUAUUGCACAAUGGGCGGAAGCCUGAUGCAGCAACGCCGCGUGCGGGAUGACGGCCUUCGGGUUGUAAACCGCUUUCGCCCGUGACGAAGCGUGAGUGACGGUAAUGGGUAAAGAAGCACCGGCUAACUACGUG
rnacentral:rRNA from 1 species